rnacentral:rRNA from 1 species
UACAGAGGGUGCGAGCGUUAAUCGGAAUUACUGGGCGUAAAGCGCGCGUAGGCGGCUUUUCAAGUCGAUUGUGAAAUCCCCGGGCUUAACCUGGGAACUGCAGUCGAGACUGUCUAGCUAGAGUAUGGGAGAGGGAAGUGGAAUUUCAGGGGUAGCGGUGAAAUGCGUAGAUAUCUGAAGGAACAUCAGUGGCGAAAGCGACUUCCUGGACCAAUACUGACGCUCAUGUGCGAAAGCGUGGGGAGCAAACAGG